UACGAAGGGGGCUAGCGUUGUUCGGAAUUACUGGGCGUAAAGCGUAUGCAGGCGGACUUUUAAGUCGGGGGUGAAAUCCCGAGGCUCAACCUCGGAACUGCCUUCGAUACUGGAAGUCUUGAGUCCGGGAGAGGUGAGUGGAACUCCGAGUGUAGAGGUGAAAUUCGUAGAUAUUCGCAAGAACACCAGUGGCGAAGGCGGCUCACUGGCCCGGUACUGACGCUGAGGUGCGAAAGCGUGGGGAGCAAACAGG
rnacentral:rRNA from 1 species